rfam:Jaapia argillacea MTCL 33604 unplaced genomic scaffold JAAARscaffold_4, whole genome shotgun sequence.
GGCCUGCUAGCUCAGUUGGUUAGAGCGUCGUGCUAAUAUGGCAGUGAGCAUUCACUCCUGAUUACGCGAAGGUCCUGGGUUCGACCCCCAUGUGGGCCA